CACCAGUGAAAAACUCAUCUGUUUCAUCAACUCUGUAAGAGUGGGUGGUUAACUGGUUGAUCUUUGGCUUUUACCCAGCACCCUUGGACCUAUGAGUACCAUAAUGUACAUCUUCCUAUCUGCUCUGGAGGGAAUCCAAGCCAUCGGUCUGUGCUACAGGGGCUGGCCGUCCUGUUCCACCUCUUGUCAUCUAGCAAGUAGCAAACAAAAUCAGGCCUGUAAGCAAUUUAUUGAAAGUCACAGCAGAAGUGAUACAGGAAAGUGGAGGAAAUGUUGCUAAAUAAACGUCCCUAAUGGGCAAAUAAAGACUAAUCCCAUGAGCAACUCAGGAAAUCCGUGCAAAACACAGCAGAUGCAAGGAAUUGUGCCCUGCUUUCUUUCAAUAAAGUACGUGCCCUCCAUUCCUCUUUCUGCGAAGGAAGUUUUGUAGCCACCAUGCAGAGUAUCCAUGUGCAGCACAAAGGAAACUCGGGUGAACUCACCCCAGAAUGGGGGCGACUCACUUGCAAUCGGGUUGCGGUGAUAACACUCACUUAUGUGUAACCCAAUAUGAAGAGUUCUGAUUUUGAGACCUCUAGCAUACAGUGUGGAUUGGGAUACUUGGGUUCAUUACAGAUUUCUUUCUUAAAUGAAAAGAGAAAGUAUCUAGUGAUGUACAGACCAUAAAUGUUCUUAACACUUUUUGAUGAAGAACAGAGCACUGAGUUUUAUAAGGCCUGAGAUCUCUUAGAAGAGAAAACAAAUCCCAUUCUAAUAUUAAUUUUAUCACUCAAUCCAUUGCACAAGUCAAAAUAUGGUCAUUAGAGUGAUAUUUGUCCCUUAUUAUUGGUAAUUUCUUUAGACCUACAACAGGCAAAGGGAAGGAGAGAAAGCUGAAUAGUGAGAUUCUUAUGUAUUGAAGAAUAGCUAUAGAUUUGAACACUCAGGACUCAAAGUAACCCCAAUUUAUGCAAAUACGGUUUAUAGUUUCACAUGCAGUGGAGUAGAAGGGGCUUUGGAAAUUUAUAUUACAUUUCUUCAGUUGUCACUGACAGCAGUUGUUUGGCAGUGGGCACUUUUUUAGUGGCUCAGACUCAUAAGGAAAGCAUCUCACUUUAUCUGGAAAUGCUUUUAUUAUACAUUCACUUUUAAAAAGUAACUUUAUUGGUACAUUUUAGGUACAGAUUAUGAUCACAUUCAUCAUUGGGAAUUCGUACCUGUGCAUGAUAUAUCUUAGUGCCCCUUCCCUCCCUUCUGUAUAAUAGAUGAUGUGAAAUAGGAAGCAAAGUUUCAAAGAGGAAGGGGAAGAGUGGGGGAGGGGGGUGGAGGAUAGGAAAGAAGGGAAAGAAAAAAAUAUACAUUCACUUUUGAAGGUUAUUUUGAAUAUAGUUUUAAGUUUUCAUUUGUUUUCUUCCAGCAGUUUAAAAGUGCCAUUCUAUUGGUUUUGAGCAGUCACUGCUAAGAAAUUGACUACAGGGAAAGUAUUGCUGCUUUGAAAAUAAUGUUCUUUUUCCCCCUGAUUACUUGAAAAAUGUCUCUGUGUUUCAAAAUUUGCUGUGGUUUUCUUUGUAUUUAUCUUGUUUUAGUUGUUGAUGAAUAUGAGAUGAAUAUGAGAAUUGAUGUCUAUUAAAUUUUGAAAAUUUGUAAUA